UACAGAGGGUGCGAGCGUUAAUCGGAAUUACUGGGCGUAAAGCGUGCGUAGACGGCUAUCUAAGUCGGGUGUGAAAGCCCCGGGCUCAACCUGGGAAUUGCAUUCGAGACUGAAUAGCUAGGGUACGGUAGAGGGAAGUGGAAUUUCCGGUGUAGCGGUGAAGUGCGUAGAUAUCGGAAGGAACAUCAGUGGCGAAAGCGACUUCCUGGACCAGUACCGACGUUCAGGCACGAAAGCGUGGGGAGCAAACAGGA
rnacentral:rRNA from 1 species